CCAGAACAUGCAUACUUUUUUACUACACACUCAAAGGCAAUUUGUCUUAUUAACUUCAAGAGAGAGAAGAAGACAGGCUGGUGAGAGAAAGACUAUAUAUAGCUCCUUCAGUUUCCCCUGUGAAGACUGCAUUUGUUGUUAAAAAGGAUGUCAACAUGAAGAUCAGAGAGCUGUCUAUAGGAGAAAACCAAGUCAUUUUGAAGCUGAGAAAAGAGGGAAAAUAAAAUCACUGGUAUGUUUACCACAAUGAUGGUAGCAGCAGAAUGAAUUUAGAAGUUUACAGGAACAUUUUGUGUGCCAAUUUACAGAGAAAUGCAUCCAAAUGAAAAUGAGGAACUUGUCCAUGCAGCAAGACAAUGAUCCAGAACAUACUACCAACUCUACAAAGGACUUUAUCAGGGAGGAAAGUAGAAGGUUUUAGACUGUCCUAGUCAAUCACCAGACCUUAACCCAGCUGAAUAUGCCUUUCACCUCCUGAAGAGGAGACUGAAUGGUGAAACACCCCAAAACAAACAACAACUGAAAGAGGCUGCGGUAAAAGCUAGGAAAAGCAUCCAGAAGAAGAAACCAACAAUUGGGUCAUGUCAAUGAGUCACAGGUUUGAUAUAGUUAAUGCAAGCAAGGGUAUUCAAGGGUAUCCAAAUAUGAAGUGUUAUUUACUUUGUAUUACUUCAAGAGUUAUCUGUUCCUAUACUUUUGUACUCCUAAAAAUUGGGUGGUCUGAUACAAACGGUUGUUUAACACAUCUAAAUGUAAAUCCUAAGAAAUAAGAGCUGAAAUCCUAAAGUCUUG
ensembl:lncRNA